UACGAAAGGGGCAAGCGUUGUCCGGAAUGAUUGGGCGUAAGGGGCGCGUUGGCGGCCCGGUAAGUCUGAAGUGAAAGUCCUGUUUUUAAGAUGGGAAUUGCUUUGGAUACUGUCGGGCUUGAGUGCAGGAGAGGUAAGUGGAAUUCCCAGUGUAGCGGUGAAAUGCGUAGAGAUUGGGAGGAACACCAGUGGCGAAGGCGACUUACUGGACUGUAACUGACGCUGAGGCGCGAAAGUGUGGGGAGCAAAC
rnacentral:rRNA from 1 species